rnacentral:rRNA from 1 species
GACGAACGCUGGCGGCGUGCUUAACACAUGCAAGUCGAACGGAAAGGCGCUGCUUUUGUGGGGUGCUCGAGUGGCGAACGGGAGAGUAACACGUGAGUAACCUGCCCUUGACGGUGGGAUAACUUCAGGAAACUGGGGCUAAUACCGGAUAGGAGCUCCUGCUGCAGGGGGUGGGUUGGAAAGUUGAGGCGGGUGGGGAUGGACGCGCGGCUAAUCAGCUUGUUGGGGGGGGAGUGGCUUACCAAGGCAUUGACGGGUAGGCGGCCUGAGAGGGUGACCGGGCACAAUGGGACUGAGGGACGGCGCAGACUCCAACGGGGGGCAGCAGUGGGGAAUAUUGCCCAAUGGGCGGGAGCCUGAUGAAGCAACGCCGCGUGUGGGAUGAGGGCUUUCGGGGUGAGAACCGCUUUCGCCUGUGACGAAGCGGGAGUGACGGUAACGGGUAAAGAAGCACCGGCUAACUACGUG